rnacentral:misc_RNA from 1 species
UAUUUUAUGUUAUUCUCAUUGUUAACGCUGUAAAUAUUAUUAGGUAAUUGAAUGUACCUACAGACAUGGUGAAAAGUAUCUAUAUAAUGUUAGCUAUAUUUUUUAUGUUAAAUGUUAUGAGUUUUGUAUAUGCUGGUGACCAAUCACAGUGUCUGAUUGAAAUGGAGAGAGCCGGAUUCGUGACACAAAAAGACGGAUGGUAUAAAAAUUUUCCUCAAUGGGAGACCAAACUUCAAAAUUACUGUAUCUGCCAUGCCCGGGUGGGAGAUGGCGGCACUUGUUCUCCGGACACCGUGACUUGCCCGAAGAAAAAUGCCACCCGGUGGCCGGGAAUCGAACCAGCGACGGCAGCGCCGCAACCGACGCCUUAGACAGUUCGGCCACCUCGUCCCCCAAAAUAUGUGAAAAGUUAUAUACUACGUAAUCGAAAAUAUGAAACUAAAACGGACCCGAUAAAUUUUUGUUCUUACGAACUUGCAUAGAUUGAUAUAAUACAUACAUAAAAAAUAUUAUUUUUUUUAUUAAAUUAUUGUUGUGUACCUACUUUUAAUUAUGGGGGUUAAAUAUAUAAGGAAAUUCGUACUUUAAUAGAUGAGAUGGUUUUAUAUUGUUAAAAUUUAUAUAAUAUAUAUUUAUCUAUAGUAAUACAUUUUAUUUGAUAUAC